UUCCGUAGGUGAACCUGCGGAAGGAUCAUUAACGAAUUUUAAGUCGGCCUUGCUGUGCUGGUGGAAACACAUGUGCACGCUCGGUCGCAAAUCCACACACCUGUGCAUCUAYGACUCGAGGUUGUCGUCGUAUGACCGAGAGUAACUUUUACACACUCUUGAAUGUAAAGGAAUGUUCAUGUGCAUAAUGUACAAUUAAACAACUUUCAACAACGGAUCUCUUGGCUCUCGCAUCGAUGAAGAACGCAGCGAAAUGCGAUAAGUAAUGUGAAUUGCAGAAUUCAGUGAAUCAUCGAAUCUUUGAACGCACCUUGCACCCUUUGGUAUUCCGAAGGGUACACCCGUUUGAGUGUCAUUGUAAUCUCACUUCUACAACUUUUUUGUUGUAAAAUGUGGACUUGGACRUCUGCCGUGUUUCAACGGCUCGUCUUAAAUGCCUGAGUGUACCCCGCUUUGCGGCGUAUUCGGUGUGAUAAAYAUUUCACCGGAGUUUGGUCUUUUGACCRCGCUUUUGCAAUUGGUGGGCUCUAUGCUUUCCAACYGUCCCYUGUGGACAAUCUUUGACAAUUUGACCUCAAAUCGGGUGGGACUACCCGCUGAACUUAAGCAUAUCAAUAAGCGGAGGAAAAGAAACUAACAAGGAUUCCCCUAGUAACGGCGAGUGAAGAGGGAAAAGCUCAAAUUUUGAAUCUGGYGUCUUUGACUCCCGAGUUGUAAUCUAGAGAAGUGUUUUCCGUGUCGGACCGCGUAYAAGUUCCCUGGAACGGGGCGUCAUAGAGGGUGAGAAUCCCGUAUAUGCCGYGGACUACCGAUGCUCUGUGAUACACUCUCAACGAGUCGAGUUGUUUGGGAAUGCAGCUCAAAAUGGGUGGUAAAUUCCAUCUAAAGCUAAAUAUUGGCGAGAGACCGAUAGCGAACAAGUACCGUGAGGGAAAGAUGAAAAGCACUUUGGAAAGAGAGUGAAACAGUACGUGAAAUUGUUGAAAGGGAAGCGUUUGAASUCAGUCAYGUUUGUUGGGAUUCAGCCUGGCUUCYGCCUGGUGUAUUUCCUAGCCGACGGGUCAGCAUCAGUUUUGACCAAGGGAAAAAGACAUUUGGAAUGUGGCUGUCUUCGGGCAGUGUUAUAGCCUUGUGUUGUAUGCCUUGGUUGGGACUGAGGAAUGCAGCGCGCCUUAUGGCCGGGGGUCGCUCCUCUCGACACGCGCUUAGGA
rnacentral:rRNA from 1 species